CGGCGCUCCUGGUGGCUGCACGUCGGUUUGAUUCCCGAGAAAUCGAAGUUCGUAAACUUUGUGAUUGUGUGUUAAGUGUAUGUGAACGGAUUGUUAAAGCUAAUCUAAAUCCAGAUACAAAGGAAUACACCUGCAGCACAGGUAUAACAGAGAUCAACUUAGAAAUAGCCACAAAUAGGGUAAGGCUUGAGUAAUAUAGUAAUGCUUAGAUAAUUUGGUUAUUCAUAAA